rnacentral:rRNA from 1 species
ACGCCGGGCGGCGUGCUUACACAUGCAGUCGAACGGUGAAGCCAAGCUUGCUUGGUGGAUCAGUGGCGAACGGGUGAGUAACACGUGAGCAACCUGCCCUGGACUCUGGGAUAAGCGCUGGAAACGGCGUCUAAUACUGGAUAUGAGCCUUCACCGCAUGGUGGGGGUUGGAAAGAUUUUUUGGUCUGGGAUGGGCUCGCGGCCUAUCAGCUUGUUGGUGAGGUAAUGGCUCACCAAGGCGUCGACGGGUAGCCGGCCUGAGAGGGUGACCGGCCACACUGGGACUGAGACACGGCCCAGACUCCUACGGGAGGCAGCAGUGGGGAAUAUUGCACAAUGGGCGAAAGCCUGAUGCAGCAACGCCGCGUGAGGGAUGACGGCCUUCGGGUUGUAAACCUCUUUUAGCAGGGAAGAAGCGAAAGUGACGGUACCUGCAGAAAAAGCGCCGGCUAACUACGUGCCAGCAGCCGCGGUAAUACGUAGGGCGCAAGCGUUAUCCGGAAUUAUUGGGCGUAAAGAGCUCGUAGGCGGUUUGUCGCGUCUGCUGUGAAAUCCCGAGGCUCAACCUCGGGCCUGCAGUGGGUACGGGCAGACUAGAGUGCGGUAGGGGAGAUUGGAAUUCCUGGUGUAGCGGUGGAAUGCGCAGAUAUCAGGAGGAACACCGAUGGCGAAGGCAGAUCUCUGGGCCGUAACUGACGCUGAGGAGCGAAAGGGUGGGGAGCAAACAGGCUUAGAUACCCUGGUAGUCCACCCCGUAAACGUUGGGAACUAGUUGUGGGGACCAUUCCACGGUUUCCGUGACGCAGCUAACGCAUUAAGUUCCCCGCCUGGGGAGUACGGCCGCAAGGCUAAAACUCAAAGGAAUUGACGGGGACCCGCACAAGCGGCGGAGCAUGCGGAUUAAUUCGAUGCAACGCGAAGAACCUUACCAAGGCUUGACAUACACCAGAACGGGCCAGAAAUGGUCAACUCUUUGGACACUGGUGAACAGGUGGUUGCA